rnacentral:rRNA from 1 species
AGCGAACGCUGGCGGCAGGCUUAACACAUGCAAGUCGAACGCAUCCUUCGGGGUGAGUGGCAGACGGGUGAGGAACACGUGGGAACAUCCCUUUCAGUUCGGAAUAACGUUGGGAAACUAACGCUAAUACCGGAUACGUCCUUCGGGAGAAAGAUUUAUCGCUGAAAGAUUGGCCCGCGUCUGAUUAGCUAGUUGGUGAGGUAACGGCUCACCAAGGCUACGAUCAGUAGCUGAUCUGAGAGGAUGAUCAGCCACAUUGGGACUGAGACACGGCCCAAACUCCUACGGGAGGCAGCAGUGGGGAAUAUUGGACAAUGGGCGCAAGCCUGAUCCAGCCAUGCCGCGUGAGUGAUGACGGCCUUCGGGUUGUAAAGCUCUUUUGUCCGGGAAGAUAAUGACUGUACCGGAAGAAUAAGCCCCGGCAAACUUCGUGCCAGCAGCCGCCGCCG